rnacentral:rRNA from 1 species
AGAGUUUGAUCCUGGCUCAGAGUCAACGCUGGCGGCGCGCCUAACACAUGCAAGUCGAACGAGAAAGCAGGAGCAAUCUUGUGAGUAAAGUGGCGUACGGGUGAGUAACACGUGGAUUAUCUACCCUCUUGUGGGGGAUAACCCUGGGAAACCGGGGCUAAUACCGCAUAAGCUCGAGAGAGGAAAGCAGCAAUGCGCAGGAGGAGGAGUCCGCGGCCGAUUAGCUAGUUGGUAGGGUAAAAGCCUACCAAGGCUACGAUCGGUAGCCGGCCUGAGAGGGCACACGGCCACACUGGCACUGAAACACGGGCCAGACUCCUACGGGAGGCAGCAGUGGGGAAUCUUGCACAAUGGGGGCAACCCUGAUGCAGCGACGCCGCGUGAGCGAUGAAGCCCUUCGGGGUGUAAAGCUCUUUCGGCAGGGAAGAUUAUGACGGUACCUGCAGAAGCAGCUGCGGCUAACUACGUGCCAGCAGCCGCGGUAAUACGUAGGCAGCAAGCGUUGUUCGGAGUUACUGGGCGUAAAGGGUGUGUAGGCGGUUCUCUAAGUCUGGUGUGAAAUCUCCCGGCUCAACUGGGAGGGUGCGCCGAAAACCGGAGGACUAGAGUGCGGGAUGGGAGAGUGGAAUUCCUGGUGUAGCGGUGAAAUGCGUAGAUAUCAGGAGGAACACCUGUGGUGUAGACGGCUCUCUGGACCGCAACUGACGCUGAGACACGAAAGCGUGGGUAGCAAACAGGAUUAGAUACCCUAGUAGUCC